GAAAGCAUUUGAAACAGCAAGACUUGAGUACAGGAGAGGAAAGCGGAAUUCCUGGUGUAGAGGUGAAAUUCGUAGAUAUCAGGAGGAACACCCAUGGCGAAGGCAGCUUUCUGGACUGAUACUGACGCUGAGGCGCGAAGGUGUGGGUAGCGAACAGGAUUAGAUACCCUGGUAGUCCACACAGUAAACGAUGUUCACUAGGUGUAGCGGAUAGUAAAAUCUGCUGUGCCGGAGCUAACGCAUUAAGUGAACCGCCUGGGGAGUACGGUCGCAAGAUUAAAACUCAAAGGAAUUGACGGGGGCCCGCACAAGCGGUGGAGCAUGUGGUUUAAUUCGACGCAACGCGAAGAACCUUACCUGGGUUUGACAUCCUGUGAAUCCCCGAGAGAUCG
rnacentral:rRNA from 1 species